rnacentral:rRNA from 1 species
GCUAGUCUCGAUGGUAGGAGAGCGUUCCGUAAGCCUGCGAAGGUGCGUUGAAAAGCGUGCUGGAGGUAUCGGAAGUGCGAAUGCUGACAUGAGUAGCGAUAAAGGGGGUGAAAGGCCCCCUCGCCGUAAGCCCAAGGUUUCCUACGCAACGUUCAUCGGCGUAGGGUGAGUCGGCCCCUAAGGCGAGGCAGAAAUGCGUACGUGAUGGGAAGCAGGUCAAUAUUCCUGCACCUGUUAGAUGCGAUGGGGGACGGAUCGCGGAAGGUUGUCCGGGUGUUGGAAGUCCCGGUCGCUGCAUUGGAGAUAGGCGCUUAGGCAAAUCCGGGCGCAGGAUUCAAGGGUGUGGCGCGAGCUCCUUCGGGAGCGAAGCAAUUGGAAGUGGUUCCAA